AAGAAGCUGACAUGAGCCCUUGUUUCCAGUAUGUGAGUCAUCAUUGCCACCAAUGGUCUGGGUCGUUGGCUGUGCACACACAUCCACAGACAGUACAACAACAGCCUCUAGUCCCUUGUUGCUGACCUUUGGGAAGCUGGGCAUGUAAGGCCAUACAUGAUCUACAGUGUACUUGUAGAGGUCAGAGGACAACUUGCAGGAGUCAUUUCUCUGCUUCCACAAUGUGAGUCCUGGGGAUCCAACUGAAGUCAUCAGAAGCAGUACUCGGGCUUCUAUUACA